GAAUACUCAUUUAUGGUGAGUAUAUAAUAAACAGUCUUUUCUAUACAAAAUGAAUUUACUCAAAUUAAGUGCUCAUUAGUUGUUUUAUGAUUUUUUUACCAAUUUUUAAUUUUUUAUAUCUGUGAUUAGUCUGAUAUUCUUACUGGGGUAGUGUAACUCACCCUUUCAUUAGCUAUUUCAGAUUAAGAGGAUCAAGAUCUAGUCCCAAUCAACAAGAGGAUUAUGAGUAGUUCAC
rnacentral:lncRNA from 1 species